rnacentral:lncRNA from 1 species
UAACAGCCUAUUACAUAGGCCUCUCUGUCUUCAUUUGCUUUCACUCCGACUAGAAUUGGAGCACCUCAAGGUACAGAGGAAAGACCAUGUGAAGACACAGGAAGAAGGUGACUGCCUACAAGCCCAGGACAGAAACUUCAGAAGGCAUCAACCUUGCUGACAGCUUGAUCUUGGAGACUCAGCCUACAGAAUUGUGGGAAGCCGAGAGCACCUUGCUGGGGAGACGGGAACCUUGCAAUCAGGUCAUGGAAAGGGAACGAGGUGUGAAUGGAAGGAUCUGAAGCUGAUCUCCUAAGAGUGGAGGACAGAAGGGAUUAAGGUGAGGAAUUGCAUCAUGGAGGUUAAAAUAGGUUAAGUAACUUCCCCAGUAUCACACAGCUGCUAUACAACAGCACCAGGAUUUCAAUAAAACAACUGGGCAGGAAGCAUGUGGUAAUUGAAGUGGCACACUGCUGCGCAGAGGUUGCUCUGGAAGUGGUGUGUGCUGAGAUCAGAUUUUCAUGUAUUGUGCCUUUCACGGUAUCACAGAACCAAGAUACAUGUACAGGGAAUGAUAUUAAGUGUUAAAUAAAAGCUGUAUAGACAUUGGGAAUUAAACUAGAAGCUGCUUACAUCCAGUGGAGCAAGGAAAAUCGAAAAACUCAAAGAAAAAUGGCAAAAGAAAUUGUUUCCAGACAAGGAAAUGAAAACAUCAUCAAAUAUUAGAGAAAGAGCAAUUCCCAGGAAAUAAUUAUCCCAAAAUGCAAAAUAAAAUUUAGGGAAUGUGUUGAUCCUCAUUAAUGAAGAACCAAGGAAAGUUUUUUAUU